rnacentral:rRNA from 1 species
UGGGCUUGACAUCCCGAUCGUACUCUAUGGAAAAAUAGAGGUCAGCUUGGCUGGAUCGGUGAC